CCUACGGGUGGCUGCAGUGAGGAAUAUUGGUCAAUGGGAGAGAUCCUGAACCAGCCAAGCCGCGUGAGGGAAGACGGCCCUAUGGAUUGUAAACCUCUUUUGUCGGGGAGCAAAACACGGCACGUGUGCCGUUCUGCGUGUACCCGAAGAAAAAGCAUCGGCUAACUCCGUGCCAGCAGCCGCGGUAAUACGGAGGAUGCGAGCGUUAUCCGGAUUUAUUGGGUUUAAAGGGUGCGUAGGCGGAAGCUCAAGUCAGCGGUAAAAUUGAGAGGCUCAACCUCGUCGAGCCGUUGAAACUGGUAGACUUGAGUGGGCGAGAAGUAGGCGGAAUGCGUGGUGUAGCGGUGAAAUGCAUAGAUAUCGCGCAGAACUCCGAUUGCGAAGGCAGCAUACCGGCGCUCAACUGACGCUGAGGCACGAAAGUGUGGGGAUCGAACAGGAUUAGAUACCCUUGUAGUC
rnacentral:rRNA from 1 species